rnacentral:rRNA from 1 species
GACGAACGCUGGCGGCGUGCUUAACACAUGCAAGUCGAACGGUAAGGCCUCUUCGGGGGUACACGAGUGGCGAACGGGUGAGUAACACGUGAGUAACCUGCCCUUGACUUUGGGAUAACAUCUGGAAACAGGUGCUAAUACCGGAUAUGAGCUUGUCCUGCAUGGGAUGGGUUGGAAAGCUCCGGCGGUCAUGGAUGGACUCGCGGCCUAUCAGCUUGUUGGUGAGGUAAUGGCUCACCAAGGCUUCGACGGGUAGCCGGCCUGAGAGGGCGACCGGCCACAUUGGGACUGAGAUACGGCCCAAACUCCUACGGGAGGCAGCAGUGGGGAAUAUUGCACAAUGGGCGGAAGCCUGAUGCAGCAACGCCGCGUGCGGGAUGACGGCCUCGGUUGUAACCGACGUUCUAGCAGGACGAAGACGUGAGUGACGGUA